rnacentral:tRNA from 1 species
AGCCCUGGGGUGACUCACGUCAAAUUGCAAGUUUGAAGAAGGACCCAGAAAGGGUCCCGGGGCUU